rnacentral:rRNA from 1 species
AUUGAACGCUGGCGGCAUGCCUUACACAUGCAAGUCGAACGGUAACAGGUCUUCGGAUGCUGACGAGUGGCGAACGGGUGAGUAAUACAUCGGAACGUGCCCAGUCGUGGGGGAUAACUACGCGAAAGCGUAGCUAAUACCGCAUACGCUCUAUGGAUGAAAGCGGGGGAUCGCAAGACCUCGCGCGAUUGGAGCGGCCGAUGGCAGAUUAGGUAGAUGGUGGGGUAAAGGCUCACCAAGCCGACGAUCUGUAGCUGGUCUGAGAGGACGACCAGCCACACUGGGACUGAGACACGGCCCAGACUCCUACGGGAGGCAGCAGUGGGGAAUUUGGACAAUGGGCGCAAGCCUGAUCCAGCCAUGCCGCGUGCAGGAUGAAGGCCUUCGGGUUGUAAACUGCUUUUGUACGGAACGAAAAGUCUCUUUCUAAUAAAGAGGGAUCAUGACGGUACCGUAAGAAUAAGCACCGGCUAACUACGUGCCAGCCGCCGCCGUAAUAC